AUAUAAGGCAACCACGAGGUCUGUUUUUUUUCUUUUUAAAGGAGGAGGAGCAGGAACAAAGAAACACAAAGAGAGAACAAACAACAGCAGGCCUGCUGGUCCUUACGAGGCUGUUUGUGAUAAGCUACACUAACUAUCUAAUCAAAGGUGGAAGAUGAAGGACAGCAAAGGCGAAGGCCGUGGUGAGCAAAUCAGGGAAGUAGAGUAACGGAACAGGCCGAGGCAGCAACACUAUAAUAUAGUCGCCAAGUCAGUCAGUUCGGGGCCUCGCCAUUCGCGCCAAUCCCGGGCAGAAUCUUGGCGGUUCAGUCUCCUUCCUUCGCCCUGUCAACUUCCCACUUUCGUCACAUCACUUUCCUUCCUUCCGUCGUUCCUUCCUUCCUUCCUUCCUUCCCUCGUUGUUGCUUUCCUUCCUUCCUUCCCUCGUUCCUUCCUUCGUCCUGUCAUUUUCUCCAUCCUCCCUUCCUCCUGUCACCUUCCCCCCUUUAUUCCUCCCUUCCUCUGUCACCUUCCUUUGGCCUUCGUCCUGCCAUCCUUGAUCCAACAAAAGCGGUCUCCGGCGCCUUCACUGUGUUUUCGAUUGAUUUGAAUUAAUCCCGUCUGGAAUUUUAAGAGGCUCAUCUUGCUAUCCACCCUCCUCGCCUCGCGGGGCUGGGGAGCGUCAGGGGGCCCAAGGCCUUCCUGGCGAGCGUCGCAGGGCUCAGGGCUCCGGCAGGGCGCCUCGGCUCCCCCGGAGCGUCCACGGAGGUGUCGGAGAUCCCGAGGGUCCGGGGGUUGGGGGGGCGUGAAGUGGCAGCAAGACAUGCAGUUACUGACCUCUUAUUAGCCAGACGACGAGUUAAUGACACGUUCCAAUGGAAGGUUCGACGCAUGGGGAGGUACAAUUCCCCUAAGCAAGGCAAGUGUCAUGCCGACUACGAUAAAAAACGAAAAAUCCAAAAAAAAUACAAAAACAAAAAAUCCAAAAAAAAUUGUCUUGUUUUGCUUUGUUUAAAGCGUCUUGUAUGUUGGUAUGGCGGGUCUUCUCUGGGGAGAAGGAGACUAACGCGUUCCAACAUACAAAACCAGGAAAAGACGACAUGGAAACACCGAGAGAAGGAAGGGAAAGAAGGGAACACCAGAAGAAGAGAAGUAACACUAGAAGAAGGCAUAUGAAGUAACACAAGAAGAAGGAAGUUGAAAAGAGUAACACAGAAGAAGGUAUUGAAAAGAGUAACACAGAAGAAGGUAUUGAAAAGAGUAACACAGAAGAAGGUAUUGAAAAGAGUUACACAGAAGAAGGUAUUGAAAAGAGUUACACAGAAGAAGGUAUUGAAAAGAGUUACACAGAAGAAGGUAUUGAAAAGAGUAACACAGAAGAAGGUAUUGAAAAGAGUUACACAGAAGAAGGUAUUGAAAAGGGUUACACAGAAGAAGGUAUUGAAAAGAGUUACACAGAAGAAGGUAUUGAAAAGAGUUACACAGAAGAAGGUAUUGAAAAGAGUUACACAGAAGAAGGUAUUGAAAAGAGUAACACAGAAGAAGGUAUUGAAAAGAGUAACACAGAAGAAGGUAUUGAAAAGAGUUACACAGAAGAAGGUAUUGAAAAGAGUUACACAGAAGAAGGAAUUUGAAAAGAG